rnacentral:rRNA from 1 species
GACGAACGCUGGCGGCGUGCUUAACACAUGCAAGUCGAACGGAAAGGCCCUGCUUUUGUGGGGUGCUCGAGUGGCGAACGGGUGAGUAACACGUGAGUAACCUGCCCUUGACUUUGGGAUAACUUCAGGAAACUGGGGCUAAUACCGGAUAGGAGCUCCUGCUGCAUGGUGGGGGUUGGUAAGUUUCGGCGGUUGGGGAUGGACUCGCGGCUUAUCAGCUCGUUGGUGGGGUAGUGGCUUACCAAGGCUUUGACGGGUAGCCGGCCUGAGAGGGUGACCGGCCACAUUGGGACUGAGAUACGGCCCAGACUCCUACGGGAGGCAGCAGUGGGGAAUAUUGCACAAUGGGCGGAAGCCUGAUGCAGCAACGCCGCGUGCGGGAUGACGGCCUUCGGGUUGUAAACCGCUUUCGCCUGUGACGAAGCGUGAGUGACGGUAAUGGGGAAAGAAGCACCGGCUAACUACGU